rnacentral:rRNA from 1 species
UACGUAGGGGGCAAGCGUUGUCCGGAAUCAUUGGGCGUAAAGCGCGUGUAGGCGGCUUGGUAAGUCCGCUCUGAAAGCCCGGGGCUCAACCCCGGGAGGCGGGUGGAUACUGUCGGGCUCGAGUCCGGAAGAGGAGUGUGGAAUUCCUGGUGUAGCGGUGAAAUGCGCAGAUAUCAGGAGGAACACCAAUGGCGAAGGCAGCACUCUGGGACGUGACUGACGCUGAGACGCGAAAGCGUGGGGAGCAAACAGG